AGAGUUUGAUCAUGGCUCAGGAUGAACGCUAGCGACAGGCCUAACACAUGCAAGUCGAGGGGCAUCGGGACGUAGCAAUACGUUGCCGGCGACCGGCGGAUGGGUGAGUAACGCGUAUGCAACCUACCCGUAGCAGGGGGAUAGCCCGUUGAAAGACGGAUUAAUACCCCGUAACACAGGGGCUCCGCAUGGAGAUUAUUGUUAAAGGGUCAUUUCUUUUUCAGGGAUGGUCCGGCUGCGGAUGGGCAUGCGUUCCAUUAGGUAGUUGGUGUAGGUAACUGCUCACCAAGCCGACGAUGGAUAGGGGAACUGAGAGGUUGGUCCCCCACACUGGUACUGAGACACGGACCAGACUCCUACGGGAGGCAGCAGUGAGGAAUUUUGGUCAAUGGACGCAAGUCUGAACCAGCCAUGUCGCGUGAAGGAGGACGGCCCUAAGGGUUGUAAACUUCUUUUGCAGUGGAAUAAAGUUUGCCACGUGUUGGCGAUUUGCAAGUACGCUGCGAAUAAGGAUCGGCUAACUCCGUGCCAGCAGCCGCGGUAAUACGGAGGAUCCAGGCGUUAUCCGGAUUUAUUGGGUUUAAAGGGUGCGCAGGCGGGGAAUUAGGUCGGCGGUGAAAUUUCGGGGCUCAACCUCGACAGUGCCGUUGAAACCGUUUCUCUUGAGUGCGGAUGAGGUAGGCGGAAUUUGUGGUGUAGCGGUGAAAUGCGUAGAUAUCACAAGGAACACCGAUUGCGGAGGCAGCUUACUAAACCGUUACUGACGCUCAUGCACGAAAGCGUGGGGAUCAAACAGGAUUAGAUACCCUGUAGUCCACGCAGUAAACGAUGAUUACUUGCUGUUUGCGAUACACAGUAAGCGGCGAAGCGAAAGCGUUAAGUAAUCCACCUGGGGAGUACGUUCGCAAGAAUGAACUCAAGGA
rnacentral:rRNA from 1 species